ACCAACUUAAUAAGAGAUCAGAUUUAGAUGAAUAUUAGAUUUUGGCUGAAAUGUUAUUUCUAUGCUAUAGUUGUUUGAGAAGUAAUUCUUUCCUGGUUUUCUUUGCAUUAUAAAAUCACGAAGUUAAUUCAAGAAUGCCCUAUUUGAAAGAGCCUUGUUUCAGGAGUUGCAUCUUCUGGUUGGGUCUGAAGAUAUUGGUUCAGCUACAGAUCAGCUACCUGCCUUGCCUAAUGAUACAGUAAAAGGUAGCUUCUGUUCUUAGUGGGAACAGUCUGAUGCAUAGGCGUCGUAAAUAUUUAUGUGCAAAACUACAUAAAUUAUAUUGAAUCUCUUUCACCUAAAUGAACAAGCAGACAUUUUAUAUCUGGCUAAACAAACGGCAUAUUUAUGAGUUCAGAUUUUGGAAAAUAUGUUAAUUGUGUGCUUCUUUGGUAUGCAAAAUAAUCUUCUUCUUAGUUACAAAUGGAUAAUUAGACAAGAAUGCUAAGUAGAUCAUAAAUGAUUAAUAUUUUUCCUUAGUUACUCAUGUGUUCUUUGUCAUAUUCACUAUACUGUAAAAUAAAUACGCAUAUUUAAAAUUUCGUUGAAGAGCCAUUUUGGUGCCAAACUCUUACGCGAGUUUGGAAUUGUUUUUAUUAUGUCAAAGUAGAAGUGUACUGAUUCUUUAUUUUGUUGGAAUCAUUGAAGAGGCAUUGUUUUUAUUUCGUUGUGAGGACAUCUCCAUUGCCAUCUGUGGUAACAAGGUUGAUGUAAAGAACAUGCAGCUUAAAGCCAAGCAGGUCACAUUCCACAGUAAGAAGAGCUCGCAGUACUAUGUAGCCUCUGCCAAGAGCAACCACAACUCUGAGAAGCCUUCCUUUUUACCUUGCAAGGAAGUUAGCUAGGAGUCGUCUCCCUCCCUAUUAGAUUCUUUUGCAUAUUAAAUCUUACUUUUAUUUGAUGAUUCUUAGUAAGCCAUGGCUCUCAAGCCCUGGGCCGGAAGUGAUCUUCAACCUAUAUUGUUGUUUGUACAAUGUUUGCAGACACGAGGAUGUGCCUGCUGCCGUUGCCACUGCAUGUUGAUGACAAUAUAAUGAGUCUUAUACCAUACUUAUAUUGUUGUUUGUACAAUGUUUGCAGACACGGGGAUGUGCCUGCUGCCGUUGCCACUGCCUGUUGAAGAUGACAAUAUAAUGAGUCUUACCAUACUUUGACUUUGAG